rnacentral:rRNA from 1 species
GGGUGCAAUCAUACCAACAUUAAUGCAUCGGAUCCCAUCAGAAUUAUGUAGUUAAGAUCACUUGCGCUAGAGUAUUAUUAGGAUGGGUGACCUCAUGGGAAGUCCUAAUGUUGCACCCU